rnacentral:lncRNA from 1 species
UAUGCCAGCGCCCGUGUUGGUUCAGACGUCCCCGUUGCAGAGUGUCACCUACGUAGUUGUGGGAAAAUGCACACAGAAGUGCGAAUUGUUUCAUCCAAGUGACCUCUCAGGUCUCCAUGAAAUGUCUAAUGCAAAAGAAAGAAAACAUGCUAAGAAAAUGAGAAACCAGCCCACGAAUGUGACUCUAGCCUCUGGCUUUGGGGCUGACAGAGGUGGAAGGCAUCAUUUUGGAGGAGGGAGACCUUCCCAGUCUCAAAAACAAGAGCUGUGAGUCAUCCCUGGGUGUGUGGAGAGCCAGUUGCCCCAAGUGUCAGUUCCCAGGUGCUUACUACCUCUUCAGACAUCAUCAGAGGAUGGAGAGUCUAGAAGUAGUGACGGGAGCUCCUAGCUGUGGGGUCAGUUAACACUUGUGAAUUUCAUUCUCUCUCUCUCCCCUCCCUGAAUAAAGACAGUAGAAUCAACCAGUAUGAAUUGUUUCUAGACUUUAAAAUUACAGCCUGGUAAAAUGCUGAUUGGGUUAGGCGUCCAGUGGGAGAUGCCCAGGCUACUUAAGCCUGAACCCCUGGGUUCCAUUCCCUAAACCAUGGUGGAAGGAGAGAACUGACCUUCACUCAUGUGCCAUGUUUUGAGUCAGUGUGAUAAUGAUACAUAAAAUUAUAAUCUGUAUGAGAUUAAGCUUUCUUUUCCACUUGUUCCGUGUGUGUGUGUGUGUGUGUGUGUGUGUGUGUGUGUGUGUAGAAGAGAGAGAGAGAGAGAGAGAGAGAGAGAGAGAGAGAGACAUAUGAAGGGAAGAAGAGGAGGGAGGAGAGACACUUUUUUUGAUUUGCUGUUCAGUGUUCGCUUGACUUUAUAAGACAGACAUGCUGCUAUAGUCUGAUCGUGCAUAUUUUAGACCUGAUGUGUUUAAGUUAUAUGUCUGUGUUUCCUAAGAGAAAUGUAGUCAGUAUAUCACCAUUUAACCAAUGUGGUAAUCUCGGACCCUUGUGAAAUGGUAGGGUGGAGGCGUUCACAGGAGAGCAGUAGAGAAAGCUAGUUCUGAAAGCUCGUUUAGGGAGCAGGGAGCUUUAGGCCUGAUCGAGUAAACCUUAGAUUUGAAUUCUCUCUCUCUUUUAAUAUUUAUUUAUUAUGUGUACAGUGUUGUCCCGCGCGCUGUAUGUUCUCGCCGGCAAGAAAUACACGCAGGACACUCGGAUCCUUCUGCAGACAAGCUUUAAUGCAUCUUGAGAGUUGGGAGAGCAUAAGCUUACCAGAGCGGAGACCCUGAACCAAGAAUCCCAUUCCUUAAUAAAGGCUGGCAAGCCGCCUGGGACGUGUUACCCUAUGAAUGGCUUCAGCUCCUCAGGCCAAAUGAGCCACGGGAUAGGCAGAGAUCAAAGGAAUGGAGAUUACCCAGCGCCUGUGAAGUAAUUUACAUUUUGGUGUCUUCAGGCACCAUUAUUGUAAUGGAGAAUGCAGGAACGGCUCCCUACAUAUCCCCCUUUUUUUAUUAAUUAAUGAUAAGGCUUUAUAUUUUUACAAGCAAAUAGGUCACCCAUAUGUUGAGGGAUAGAGGCAGAGGUUGUACCUUCCCAAAUCAAACAUUAAGACUGUGUACGAGAGUCGCGACUAGGCUGUUAGCUUGACCCAAAGCUCUCUCGACCUGUCCUCUGCCGUUUUUCUGGGAAAGGGAGGCUCGGGC